AUAUCACGUUGAAACACCGGUUUCCAUACGAUCACUGAAUUUAAGCAACAUUGUGUCUGGUCUGCACGUAGAUGGGUGACUGCUUGGGAAUACCAGGUACUGUAA